rnacentral:lncRNA from 1 species
GGUUGGCUAAAACAUGCUUGUAAGCUAUAAACCAUCUCCUUACCUUAGACAGUGGUGUAACAGCAAAAUACAAACUGUAAAAAAAUUUUUAGAGAAUUUUGUUAUUACUAAGCUGAUUGUUUCAUAGUCAUAUUUCUUCAGACUUUCAGCACAAAUCUCAACCGUGCUCACACAUUACACAUUAUCUAGUGCCCAACUUCAUACCUGACAUUUAGAAC